GAUGAACGCUAGCGGCAGGCUUAACACAUGCAAGUCGAGGGGUAGAGGAAGCUUGCUUCCUUGAGACCGGCGCACGGGUGCGUAACGCGUAUACAAUCUACCUUUUACAGAGGGAUAGCCCCAGAGAAAUUUGGAUUAAUACCUCAUAGUAUUUUCGGAUCGCAUGAUUUGAUUAUUAAAGUUCCAACGGUAAAGAUGAGUAUGCGUCCCAUUAGCUAGAUGGUAAGGUAACGGCUUACCAUGGCAAUGAUGGGUAGGGGUCCUGAGAGGGAGAUCCCCCACACUGGUACUGAGACACGGACCAGACUCCUACGGGAGGCAGCAGUGAGGAAUAUUGGACAAUGGGCGCAAGCCUGAUCCAGCCAUGCCGCGUGCAGGAAUAAGGUCCUAUGGAUUGUAAACUGCUUUAUACAAGAAGAAACACUCCCUCGUGAGGGAACUUGACGGUACUGUAUGAA
rnacentral:rRNA from 1 species